rnacentral:rRNA from 1 species
UACGUAGGGUGCAAGCGUUGUCCGGAAUUAUUGGGCGUAAAGAGCUCGUAGGCGGUUCGUCGCGUCGGCCGUGAAAACCCGGAGCUCAACUCCGGGCCUGCAGUCGAUACGGGCGGACUUGAGUGUUGCAGGGGAGACUGGAAUUCCUGGUGUAGCGGUGAAAUGCGCAGAUAUCAGGAGGAACACCGGUGGCGAAGGCGGGUCUCUGGGCAACUACUGACGCUGAGGAGCGAAAGCGUGGGGAGCGAACAGG